GUACUCACUCUGGGAGCACAUAUACUAAAAUUGGAACAAUACAGAAAAAAUUAGCAUGGCCCUGUGCAAGGAUGACACAUAAAUUUGUGAAAUAUUCCCUAUUUUU